ensembl:lncRNA novel transcript, antisense to SHPRH
GAUUAUCCUUGAUUGGCAGAAUGCUAGUUCCACACUUCCUACAAGAACACUGGCUACUCUACAGAUACUCUCUAUAUUCUGGGAAAAGAUUUCAGGAUCAUAUAAUAUAAAAAAUGGCAAUACCACAAGAGACAAACCAAGGCUGAGGGACUCAUCUUGAUGAAGACAAAAAAAGACAUGACAACUAAAUAAGAUUUAUGAUUCCAAAUUGGAUCCUGAGCCAGAAAAAAAAAAUGCCAUAUUGGGCCUACCAGUAAAAAUGUAAAAGAACUACAGGUUAGAUAAUAGUAUUGUAUUGAUGUUAAGUUUCCUAAUUUUGAAGAUUGUACAAAAGUCAUGUAAGAGUAUGCCCUUUUCUAUUAGGAAAUGCACUGUGAUGGUUAAUAUUGAAUGUCAACUUCAUUGGAUUGAAGGAUGCAAAGUAUUGUUCCUGGGUGUGUCUGUGAAGGUGUUGCCAAAAGACAUUAACAUUUGAGUCAGUGGACUGGGAGAGGCAGACCUACCCUCAAUCUGGGUGGGCACCAUCUAAUGAGCUGCCAGGGCGGCUAGGAUAAAAGCAGGCAGAGGAACAUGGAAGGACUAAACUGGCUGAGUCUUCCGGCCUUCAUCUUUCUCCCAUUCUGGAUGCUUUCUGCCCUCAAACAUCGGACUCUAACUUCUUUAGCUUCUGGACUGUUAGACUUACACCAGUCAUUUGCCAGGGGCUCGCAGGCCUUUGGCCACAGACUGAAGGCUACACUGUCGACUUCGCUACUUUUGAGGUUCUGGGGCUCAGACUGGCUUCUUUGCUCCUCAGCUUGCUGACAGCCUAUUGUGGGACUUUACCUUGUGAUUGUGUGAGUCAAUACUCCUUAAUAAACUCCCUUUCAUAUAUAUAUAUAUAUCCUAUUAUUACUGUCCCUCUAGAAAACCCUAAUACAUAUGCAUUAAAAAUGUUUGGUGAACUAUUUUCAAAUAGUUUCCUAAAAUUCAUAAAAUUUAUGUAUAUAUGAUAUGCAUAUAUGAUAUGUAUUUGUCAUAUUAGGAUAUAUUAUAUAUAGCAUAUAUUUAUAAGGUAUAUUCAUAAUAUGUAUGUAGUAUUAUAUUAUGGGCACAUAUAUAUUUAAUAU